rnacentral:rRNA from 1 species
AGUUCUCGUUGAUGAUCGGUGCUUGCACCGAGAUUCAACAUGGAACGAGUGGCGGACGGGUGAGUAACACGUGGGUAACCUGCCCUUAAGUGGGGGAUAACAUUUGGAAACAGAUGCUAAUACCGCAUAGAUCCAAGAACCGCAUGGUUCUUGGCUGAAAGAUGGCGUAAGCUAUCGCUUUUGGAUGGACCCGCGGCGUAUUAGCCAGUUGGUGAGGUAAUGGCUCACCAAGGCGAUGAUACGUAGCCGAACUGAGAGGUUGAUCGGCCACAUUGGGACUGAGACACGGCCCAAACUCCUACGGGAGGCAGCAGUAGGGAAUCUUCCACAAUGGACGCAAGUCUGAUGGAGCAACGCCGCGUGAGUGAAGAAGGCUUUCGGGUCGUAAAACUCUGUUGUUGGAGAAGAAUGGUCGGCAGAGUAACUGUUGUCGGCGUGACGGUAUCCAACCAGAAAGCCACGGCUAACUACGUGCCAGCAGCCGCGGUAAUACGUAGGUGGCAAGCGUUAUCCGGAUUUAUUGGGCGUAAAGCGAGCGCAGGCGGUUUUUUAAGUCUGAUGUGAAAGCCCUCGGCUUAACCGAGGAAGCGCAUCGGAAACUGGGAAACUUGAGUGCAGAAGAGGACAGUGGAACUCCAUGUGUAGCGGUGAAAUGCGUAGAUAUAUGGAAGAACACCAGUGGCGAAGGCGGCUGUCUGGUCUGUAACUGACGCUGAGGCUCGAAAGCAUGGGUAGCGAACAGGAUUAGAUACCCUGGUAGUCCAUGCCGUAAACGAUGAAUGCU